rnacentral:lncRNA from 1 species
GGAUGAUUCUAAACAAGUCAUCCCAUCUUGUUCUGUGAACUGUGGGAAACUCAUCACACUUGUCCUUGUGGUUACUUGGGGUUGUUGUGAGAAUCAGACUUGAUCUUGAGAACGGGUUCUGAAUGCACACAGACAAACAGGGUGUGCAUGUGUGAGGUGCAAUCUACGGGAGCCAGAGUCUCAACUCCUGGGAACACAUCUCCGGGCUGCAUGUCCAGCUGCUUUUUCCUUCGUUUGGUGAUUGUGAGCAGAGCCCUUGGGGUUUGAGAAGCUCUUAGCCCAUGAGUGCAAAAAGAUGAGAGAGAAAUAAUAAUAUUUUUUUUCUCCAUAGGGAACUUCCAGCAUCUAUGAGGAAACAGAAUUUCUUUUGAUCACAGAAGAAAAGAAAAGAAUAUUAACCAUGGACUGUCCACCAGACACAGAGGCCAUUCCCAAGAACUCAACACAGGAAAGCUGGCCUCUGCCCCCAGAAGCUUCCAGGCGAAGGAGAACAGUCAAGGAGCCAAAGUCCUAGGUACUCAGCUGGAGGGUGAUUUCCACUCACACCAAUCUUCCAAAACCCUGGGACUUGGGACCGAGCAGCAGCAUUAUGUCAUUUCCAGGCAAAGCCCUAAGUUCUGUCUUUGCUUCAUGUGGUCUCUUUUCGCAUUUUGCACUUCGUCAUUUGCUGCUUCAUCUGACCUAACUCAAUGAGUUUCUUGAUUUUAAUGUGUGUAGAAGUUACUUAUUGGAGAAUUUUAUUAAACAUGCACAUUCUUAAGCCUGGCUUCCAGUGAUUCUCUUUUGGGAGGCCUGGGCAGGGGCCAGGACAUAGGCACACUUCACAGGCACCCAAAAGAUUCCCAUGCAGCAGUGACCCAUGAACCAUGCUUUAAGGAACACUCAUCUAAUGGUUCUGGAGUGGGGUUAGUCUCCCUCAGAGACCCAGGCUCCUGGGAGCCAGGGACCCAUUUGACAUUGCAAUGAAACACAGAACAUGGAAAGGGACAUGCCGUGUAGUCAAUCCAAACUGGAUGAGUAAGUGAAUCAAUUAGUGACUAAGGCACAUGCAAUAGGGAAGGUCAUUGUCACCAUGAACUGAAACUUUUCUGGCAAUGUUGGAGAAGGUAAGGUGAGUGGGAGAGGUGGUACAAGACAGGCUUCAAAGCUGGGUCUCUGAUGGGUCACCAGAAACAGUCGGGUCCUUGUAAGGCAAUGCUUCUUCUCUAGCAGAGACGUUUGUCCAGAGGGAGUCUGUCAGCCUCCAAGAUAUUUUAAGCUUCAUCCCUCAAAAUGUCAUAAAGGAGGAUUAAAGUAUAAAUGAUUGUCAGUUCACUCCUGUCCUCCUGGUACUGCGCUGAGCAUCUCAGGCUGUUUGGAAGGCAGGGGCAGCAAGGGACAGGAGGAGCAGGGGAGGGUCUUAAAAUGUAACUGAAGAGAGUCUGCAGAGAAUGAGGAGCUCCGGUGUGUCUUGGGGGCUAAAGCAGUUCACAGGCUGCUACUUUUUUGUGACAUAGCUUUUAUGGGGGGAGAGCCAGAAUAUUAAGCUCAUUGCUUCCAGAUGGGAAGGUUGGACAAGACAGAG